ACUUAAAUUGAAGAGUUUGAUCAUGGCUCAGAUUGAACGCUGGCGGCAGGCCUAACACAUGCAAGUCGAGCGGUAGCACAGAGAGCUUGCUCUCGGGUGACGAGCGGCGGAC
rnacentral:rRNA from 1 species